GAGAAAGAAAGGUAUCGCUUGGAGAAGCUAAAGAAAAAUCGAGAGGUUUUCCUCCCACCCACAUGCCAUUGUUUGAAGUUUAAAGAAAGCUUGGUGGUUCGGCUUAAGAGAUUCCUAGCAAGAAUCUUCAAGGAUUCAAGAACCCGAUGCAUGCAUGUAGGUGGAUCUUGGAAUGCAUAGUGAUUUUGAGCUAGAUAAGCAAUGGAUAAGUAAUCAGCUCAAGCGUAUUGCUCAGCACAUCAAGACUUGCUGCAACAUAGGUAAUGGCAUCUCUUAGACUUCCACUCCAAGUCACUCCACUGCAUAGAGGUCGUGUUGUGUAAUAGUGUAAGACUUAUAAAAUUAUUAUUAGUCUUUCGGAUAUGUAUUAUCUAAAAACUUUAAGUUUAUGUAUUAGAUGCUAAGUGUGAGGUUGAAACU